UACGUAGGCAGCGAGCGUUGUUCGGAGUUACUGGGCGUAAAGGGUGUGUAGGCGGUUGGUUAAGUUUGGUGUGAAAUCUCCCGGCUCAACUGGGAGGGUGCGCCGAAUACUGAAUGACUUGGAGUGCGGGAGAGGUGAGUGGAAUUCCUGGUGUAGCGGUGAAAUGCGUAGAUAUCAGGAGGAACACCGGUGGUGUAGACGGCUCACUGGACCGUAACUGACGCUGAGACACGAAAGCGUGGGUAGCAAACAGG
rnacentral:rRNA from 1 species